GCUGGUCUAUUGAUUUUUGGGGGU
rnacentral:piRNA from 1 species